GUGCAGCAGGCGCGAAAACUUUACAAUGCCGGCAACGGCGAUAAGGGGACCUCGAGUGCCAGGUUACAAAUCUGGCUGUCGUGAUGCCUAAAAAGCAUUGCAUAGCAAGGGCCGGGCAAGACCGGUGCCAGCCGCCGCGGUAACACCGGCGGCUCGAGUGGUAACCGUUAUUAUUGGGUCUAAAGGAUCUGUAGCCGGCCAGAUAAGUCUCUUGAGAAAUCCAGCAGCUCAACUGUUGGGCUUUCAGGAGAUACUGUCUGGCUCGAGGCCGGGAGAGGUGAGAGGUACUUCAGGGGUAGGGGUGAAAUCUUGUAAUCCUUGAAGGACCACCAGUGGCGAAGGCGUCUCACCAGAACGGACCUGACGGCAAGGGACGAAAGCUAGGGGCACGAACCGGAUUAGAUACCCGGGUAGUCC
rnacentral:rRNA from 1 species